rnacentral:lncRNA from 1 species
UCUAUAUUCAAUUUUUUAUUUCUCUUUUGCAUCUGUUAUCUUGAAAACUUUAUUUACAUUUAUAUUAAAACUUUCUAUCACAUAUAAUCACUACAACAGAAUUAGGUUAUAGGAACACAUAUUUGGGACACUUUGAGUAAGUGUCUCAUUUAUCCUAAAACUUAAAAAAACAUCUACUAAUGCCUAAAUAUAAAGCCCAAUCAAACUAAAAAUAAAAUAUUACUCUACUCAACCCACCACACCUAGUCCAUUUCGCCCGAUUACAAACAGUAAAAAAAAAAAAAAAUCAAUUACCAUCUUUUCUUCUCUCUUCACUCAAUCCACUGAAAUUCUAGACGAAGAGCCUUUCCUGUCGUCCUCCUCCACCACCACAGCCAACGAGAUAGAGUUUCGGCGGUUGCUAAAUGCUUAAAUAAGUGUUGAUAAAUUAGCAGCACUCUUUUAGUUUAUAACGACACUCUUUAACUGUCGCUAUAUACCUAGCGACCCCAUAUAUAGCAACAUUUUUUAAAAGUGUCGGUAAUUUUAGCUAGAAGCACUUUUUUGACAUGUACCUACAUUUAAAAGUGUUGCUAUAGACCGUUUUUGUUGUAGUGAAUGUAAAGACAAACAAUUUAGACCUCAUAUAUAAUAUAUACACAUACACUUAAUCCAUAAAAUUACAAUUCAUGAAAUGCACAAAUUUCA